rnacentral:lncRNA from 1 species
GGUAGCUGGGGCAACUGCAGGGGUGGCCUCUGUGGGAGGAGGCCAGGUCUGCCCCCAUGCUGGACACAGCCUGGUCCCAUCAGCUCUGCAAGGGGUCCACCACAGGGCACAAUUGAGCCCAUCAGUGAAGCUGGUGAUACCUCUGUGAAGACACAUUUAAGAAAGGGCAUAAAAUGCCAGAAGGAGAAGAGGAGGGAACAAGAAGAGCAAGAAACAGCAGAGGAAACCAAGGCCACAGGAGGAGAAGGAGCUCAGGCUCCAGCUCUGUGUCAGAGUAGAUGUCCCCUACAGCUUUUGGAGACCCAAGGUUGGAGCAGAAAAUGUGAAGAGGAAAGAGCAGUAGAGAGAAACCACUAUGUACUGACCAUAAUCCCAAACCCUGCAACCAGCUGGGGAAGUGGCAGAAAACAAGGAGGCAGAACACAGAAGUGUUGAAGACUUCAUAUCUUGGGCCCUCCAGAACUGAAGCUGCCAUUUGACAGGAUGCUGAAUGCAUGGAGAGGUUAAAACCUCUCAGGAGUUACAGUUCUACGGUUUCACAAAGAAGUUAGAAUGUUAUUGUCCAAGACUGUCCCAGGUUAUUUCAUUGACAAUUGAACUUUCAUUUGCUAUGGGGCAAGUUCAUAUAUCUAUGAUCUGUCAUAUAAUCCUCACAUAAUUUGUGCAUAUGGAAAAUUAAUGUAUUCAUAGCUGCAGUCAUGUUACAAAAUAGUUAACUAUCCAAAACUCUCCUACACCUGUGACUGCCAAUUUAGACCUACACAGAAAAGCUGAAUGCUUUCCUCCCCAUAAACAUUUCUCUAUACCUUCACAUACAUUCCCACUCUGAAAAUCAUCUCUGAAAUAAUGCUGCUCCCAAUUCUUUUACUAGUCUGUGGUAGAAAACUGCUCCUUAGAUAUAUGAUCCCAUGAAGUUCAAAGACCCCAGAGAUACCAUGAAAUGUCCAAUGCUGGUAUUAAAAAAAUAACUGCAGUAAAAAGGGACUUUGUAGAGAUGUUACGAGAAAGAAUUGAUGACUGGAAUGUGCAAUGUGCUUUAUACUCUCUUUAGCUUUAACUUUGUUUCUGUUUUCUCAUGGGAAGUACAAAUUACAUCCCUGGCUACCAUUCAAGUGACAUUUUGCAGAUCAUAUAGA